AUUGAACGCUGGCGGCAGGCCUAACACAUGCAAGUCGAACGAGUGGCGGACGGGUGAGUAAUGUCUGGGAAACUGCCCGAUGGAGGGGGAUAACUACUGGAAACGGUAGCUAAUACCGCAUACCAUCGGAUGUGCCCAUAUGGGAUUAGCUAGUAGGUGGGGUAACGGCUCACCUAGGCGACGAUCCCUAGCUGGUCUGAGAGGAUGACCAGCCACACUGGAACGUAGACAAGGUCCAUACCCCUACGGGAGGCAGCAGGGGGGAAUAUUGCCCAAGGGGCGCAAUCCUUAUUCAGCCCUGCCGCGUGUAUGAAGAAGGCCUUCGGGGUGUAAAGUACUUUCAGCGAGGAGGCGUUACUCGCAGAAGAAGCACCGGCUAACUCCGUGCCAGCAGCCGCGGUAAUAC
rnacentral:rRNA from 1 species